rnacentral:rRNA from 1 species
UGAGUACGAGAUGCUACGGCAUCGAAGCAGUCUAUGUCAUACUUCCAAGAAAAGCUUGCACUGUCAGAAACAGAUAAUGCCUGUACCAUAACCGACACAGGUGGGUAGGUAGAGUAUACUAAGGGGCGCGAGAUAACUCUCUCUAAGGAACUCGGCAAAAUGACUCCGUAACUUCGGGAGAAGGAGUGCCUUAUUUUUAAGGUUGCAAUAACAAGAUCCAAGCAACUGUUUACCAAAAACACAGGUCUCCGCUAAGUCGUAAGACGAUGUAUGGGGGCUGACGCCUGCCCAGUGCCAGAAGGUUAAAGAAGUCGGUUAGCAUUCGCGAAGCUGGUAACUGAAGCCCUGGUGAACGGCGGCCGUAACAAUAACGGUCCUAAGGUAGCGAAAUUCCUUGUCGGGUAAGUUCCGACCCGCACGAAAGGCGUAAUGAUUUGGAUACUGUCUCGGAGAGGGGCUCGGUGAAAUAGACUUGUCUGUGAAGAUGCGGACUACCUGCACCUGGACAGAAAGACCCUAUGAAGCUUUACUGUAACUUGAAAUUGAAAUUGGACUUUAUUUGCGCAGUAUAGGUGGGAGGCGUUGAAAAUAUUCUUGCGGGAAUAUUGGAGCCAUCAGUGAGAUACCACUCUUGUAAUGUUAGAUUUCUAACUUUAUAUCAUUAUCUGGUUAAAGAACAGUUCCAGGCGGGCAGUUUGACUGGGGCGGUCGCCUCCCAAAUGGUAACGGAGGCGCACAAAGGUUUCCUCUGAACGGGUAGAAAUCGUAUCUAGAGUGUAAAGGCAUAAGGAAGCUUGACUGUGAGACCUACAAGUCGAGCAGGGACGAAAGUCGGUCUUAGUGAUCUGACGGUGCAGAGUGGAGAGGCCGUCACUCAACGGAUAAAAGUUACUCUAGGAUAACAGGCUGAUCUCCCCCAAGAGUUCACAUCGACGGGGAGGUUUGGCACCUCGAUGUCGGCUCAUCGCAUCCUGGGGCGGUAGUACGUCCCAAGGGUUGGGCUGUUCGCCCAUGAAAGCGGUACGCGAGCUGGGUUCAGAACGUCGUGAGACAGUUCGGUCCAUAUCCGGUGUAGGCGUUAGAAUAUUGAGAGGAGCCUUCUUUAGUACGAGAGGACCGAGAAGGACAUACCUCUGGUGUACCAGUUAUCGUGCCAACGGUAAACGCUGGGUAGCUAUGUAUGGAGUGGAUAACCGCUGAAAGCAUCUAAGUGGGAAGCCCACCUCAAGAUAAGUAUUCUCACC